CUUCAGCCAUACCUCCCUGAAUACCCCCAGUCUCAGCUGAUCUUGGAAGUGAAGAGGGCCAGGCUUUGUUAGGACUUAGAUGGGAGAAAAAACUGAGCAAAAGCUAUUAGGU
rnacentral:rRNA from 1 species